rnacentral:rRNA from 1 species
CAGUCGCCGCGGGAAUACGUAGGGUGCGAGCGUUGUCCGGAAUUACUGGGCGUAAAGGGCUCGUAGGUGGUUUGUCGCGUCGUCUGUGAAAUUCUGGGGCUUAACUCCGGGCGUGCAGGCGAUACGGGCAUAACUUGAGUGCUGUAGGGGUAACUGGAAUUCCUGGUGUAGCGGUGAAAUGCGCAGAUAUCAGGAGGAACACCGAUGGCGAAGGCAGGUUACUGGGCAGUUACUGACGCUGAGGAGCGAAAGCAUGGGUAGCGAACAGGAUUAGAUACCCCUGUAGUCCCUGUCUCUUAUU